UACGGGGGGAGCAAGCGUUGUUCGGAUUUACUGGGCGUAAAGGGCGCGUAGGCGGCCACCGCAAGUCGAUUGUGAAAUCUCCGGGCUUAACCCGGAAAGGUCAACCGAUACUGCGGGGCUAGAGUGCAGAAGGGGCAACUGGAAUUCUCGGUGUAGCGGUGAAAUGCGUAGAGAUGUGGAGGAACACCGAUGGCGAAGGCAGCCCCCUGGGUCAAGAUUGACGCUCAUGCACGAAAGCGUGGGGAGCAAACAGG
rnacentral:rRNA from 1 species